UGACCCGCCCUUACACCGGCAGAAGAAGACAUCGGCGCGCAGCGCGCUGAAAAGCGGAGUUCCAUCUCUGCUCUCUCAUUCGACCUGCGGCUCCGCUCGACAUCCUUGUGAUAUCCACGAGUGAAAAGCUAUACUGAAGAUGUCGGACGAGGGUAAACUGUUCAUCGGAGGACUGAGCUUCGAGACCAACGAGGAGUCUCUGGCUGCGGCCUUCGGCAAAUACGGAACCAUAGAGAAAGUGGAUGUGAUCAGAGACAAAGAGACAGGAAGAUCUCGCGGUUUCGGCUUUGUGAAAUAUGAUAAUGCAGAAGAUGCAAAAGAUGCAUUGGACGCCAUGAACGGCAAGACUCUAGAUGGUCGGGCUAUUCGCGUGGAUGAAGCAGGAAAGGGUGGGCGCUCCAGAGGAGGUUUCGGUUCAGGCCCACGAGGUGGCAGAUUCAGUGGGUCCCGGGGGAGAGGUGGACGUGGUUACUCCAGAGACUUUGGAGGUGGGGGAUACAAUGGAGAUAGGGGAUAUGGUGACAGGAGUUAUGGUGACAGAAGCUUUGGAGGUGGAGAAAGGAGCUUUGGUGGUGGUGGAUACAGAAGUGGGGGAUACUCCUCAGGUGGCUACAGAGAAAAUAGGGGCCAGGGUGGAUAUGGUGACCGCUCUGGAUCAUACCGCGAUGGAUAUGACAGCUAUGAAUGAAAAGACUGUUGGAGGCUUCCAUGGAUCUCCUCACAGCUGAAGUGUACAGCUUUAGGUGGCAGUGACUGGUGAUGCAGUUAUCAGGUCCAACGUGGGGCAGCUUUAAGCAGUGUCUACAAGGGAGGAUCCUGCCAACAAAAAGUUUGAGAACUUUGUGAAUAUCAAACGUUGGCUUGCCUGAGAAGCUAAUUUUUCCAAUGUUAUGGCAGGUAUUCAUAGUCCUUGAUAUCCCAAUUCAUUGGGGGGGUGGCGGAUAACAAAUGUAUGCACUAGGGAAUGAACAUUUUUUGCCUUCCAUAUCUUGUCUGAAUAUGAGUCCCUUUCAGACAGUUGGCUUACUUGAAAGAUGGAGUACUGUUGUGAUCAUUGUAAUAAUUUAUUGCACAAGGCACUUCAGCACUAUUAUGCUGUUUUUAACUUUUUGUAUUGAGUUCAAAAAUAAAACUGAAGGAGAAUUAA